AUAUUGUCAAUUUCUCACGGGCACCACGCGUAAGAGAGUAUCGUUUUUGUAAAUGUAAAUUUGUUGUGCAUUUGUUAGAUAUAUAAAAUGGGUAUACUAGAAAAAAUAUCGGAAAUUGAAAAAGAAAUUGCACGAACACAGAAGAAUAAAGCUACUGAAUAUCAUUUAGGUUUGUUAAAAGCAAAGCUUGCAAAAUACAGAUCACAACUUUUAGAACCACCAAAGAAGUCUGAGAAAGGAGAAGGCUUUGAUGUCUUAAAAUCAGGAGAUGCAAGAGUAGCGUUAAUAGGUUUUCCUUCUGUAGGAAAAUCUACUUUGUUAAGUACAUUAACACACACAGAAUCUGAAGCAGCAUCUUAUGAAUUUACUACUUUAACUUGUAUACCUGGUGUUAUUGAAUAUAAAGGAGCUAAUAUUCAACUUCUUGAUCUUCCUGGAAUAAUUGAAGGUGCUGCACAGGGUAAAGGAAGAGGUAGACAAGUAAUAGCUGUUGCAAGAACAGCAGACUUAGUUCUUAUGAUGCUUGAUGCAACAAAACAAGAUGUACAAAGGCAACUCUUAGAAAAAGAAUUGGAAUCAGUUGGUAUACGACUUAAUAAAAAAAAACCAAAUAUAUAUUUUAAAAUAAAAAAAGGAGGUGGAUUAGCAUUUAAUUCAACAUGUCCAUUAACAAAAGUUGAUGAAAAAUUAGUUCAAAUGAUUUUACAUGAAUAUAAAAUUUUCAACGCCGAAGUUUUAUUUCGUGAAGAUUGUAGUGCAGAUGAGUUAAUCGAUGUGAUUAAUGCCAACAGAGUAUACUUACCAUGUCUUUAUGUACAUAAUAAAAUAGAUCAAAUAUCAAUAGAAGAAGUGGAUAGAAUUGCUAGACAGCCUAAUAGUGUAGUAGUUAGUUGCAACAUGAAAUUGAAUUUAGAUUUCCUUCUUGAAACAUUGUGGGAAUAUUUAUCUUUAAUAAGGGUUUAUACAAAAAAACCUGGACAACCACCUGAUUUUGAAGAUGGUUUAAUAUUAAGAAAAGGUGUUACAGUAGAACAUGUAUGUCAUGCAAUUCAUCGUUCACUUGCUCAACAAUUUAAGUAUGCCCUUGUUUGGAACAGUCAAAUAAAGGAAUUGAUUACGUUUGGUCUUAAUUGAAGAAAAUGUUUGAAUAACCGAACAUAAUAUAUGCUAAAUCAAUUGAAUGUGAAAUGAGGAAAUGUGUGAUUGCAAAAUGCAUAGAAGAAAGAAACGCGUGAGUUAUUCCGCUGUUUUAAAAUAAUAUAAAGAGAUAAAACAGCGUAAAGAGCCUACUUGCGGACAGCACUGUUUCAGAUAAUGGUACAAGUACCAAGUAUUCACCUCAACGAGUUGGCUUGCAACACGUUAUGCACGAUGAAGAUGUUAUUCAAAUAGUUAAAAAAUAAAAUUUAUACUAUUACGUGCAUAAAUUACCUGUGAAAAUAUUAAUUGCAGAAAUAGAACA